GAUGAAGAACGUAGCGAAAUGCGAUAAGUAAUGUGAAUUGCAGAAUUCAGUGAAUCAUCGAAUCUUUGAACGCACAUUGCGCCCCUUGGUAUUCCGAGGGGCAUGCCUGUUCGAGCGUCAUUAUAACCCCUCAAGCUCAGCUUGGUGUUUGGGCCUGCUGCACUGGCAGCCCUUAAAAUCAGUGGCGGCGCCAUCUGGCUCUAAGCGUAGUAAUUCUUCUCGCUAUGGAGUCCUGGUGGAUGCUUGCCAUCAACCCCCAAUUUUUCUAUGGUUGACCUCGGAUCAGGUAGGGAUACCCGCUGAACUUAAGCAUAUCAAUAAGCGGAGGA
rnacentral:misc_RNA from 1 species